AUUGAACGCUGGCGGCAGGCCUAACACAUGCAAGUCGAGCGGAUGAAGGGAGCUUGCUCCUGGAUUCCGCGGCGGACGGGUGAGUAAUGCCUAUGAAUCUGCCUGGUUGUGGGGUAUAACGUCCUGAAACGGGCGCUAAUACCGCAUACGUCCUGAGGGAGCAAGUGGGGGGUCUUCGGACCUCACGCUCUCAGAUGAGCCUAGGUCGGAUUAGCUAGUUGGUGGGGUAAAGGCCUACCAAGGCGACGAUCCGUAACUGGUCUGAGAGGAUGAUCAGUCACACUGGAACUGAGACACGGUCCAGACUCCUACGGGAGGCAGCAGUGGGGAAUAUUGGACAAUGGGCGAAAGCCUGAUCCAGCCAUGGCGCGUGUGUGAAGAAGGUCUUCGGAUUGUAAAGCACUUUAAGUUGGGAGGAAGGGCAGUAAGUUAAUACCUUGCUGUUUUGACGGUACCAACAGAAUAAGCACCGGCUAACUUCGUG
rnacentral:rRNA from 1 species